GCCAGUGGUUCCUAACCUUGUUGGAGGUACCGAACCCCUCCAGUGUCAUAUGCACAUUCACUGAACCCCUCUUUUCUAAAAAUAAUUGUU